UUAUGCUUGAGUUUCAAUCCAACUAUUGGCGGGGCUGCUGCAAAGGCAUGCUCCGUUAUUUUAUGAAUGAUUAUUUUCUUCUUUAUUCUGAUUUUUGGAACCUGCUUACACAGAUUUCUUAGUUAGAAAUCAUUGCUAUUGUGUCGUUGAUCCAUAUGAGUAACUCAAGAACAUUAUAUGGUACCAACCAAGGACAAGGAGUUCUGCUCGAAUUUGUCAACCUUAAAUAUCAAGUUUGAAAUUUGAAAUACAGAGGAGCUAAAAGUUAUGAAAAAAGAAAAAUUCAAGUUUCCGUGAUUUUGGCCAUCAAGCAUUUCACAAAGGAAGUUUCAGGUAUUUCUAAUCAAAUUUGCUUUAAGCAUAAGUUAUUCAAUCUUUGUUAUUAUUUAUAUACCAAGAUACGAUACAAGAUAAUAUGAGACCCAGUUUUUUCUUUAAAAAUAUACAUUAAUGGGGUGCAAUGUUCAUAGCAAUAUGGCAGCAUCAUCCAUUAUGCAAUAAUUUUAAAAGCUAUGACGAAUUUUGAAAUGUGUUUACUAUUAUAAAAACAAAAGCAUAUGCAACUUUUAGAUAACACAUGAUUGAAUGUUUAAGAAAAAUCAGGUGAGAUUAACCAAAGAUAUAUAUCCCACUAUAUUAAAAGCAUAAUAAAAUCAUUGAGAUAUCUAAGGAUUCAGAGAAGUUGACACCUCUUAAGAGUGACUGUGGAACUAGCCAACAACAAUUUUGUUCUUAAGGAUAGAUAUAAAAACUGUUCUUUCAUAUGUUGCUACUACUUUUAUAUUUGAAGCUUCUACUACUACAGAUUUUAGGCUAAUGGAUGUAGGUUUCUAUAUUAAUUAUGACUAUGACGACAAGGGAUGUCGCUUAGAGGAUAGUAUGUAUCAGGUUGUUCUUCAUAUACAAUACUCAUAAGGUAACAUUGUGAAAGAUUUUGGUUUUUGUUUGUUCAUUUUGUUUAUUUUUAGGUUCUUUGUGCUCAUUACACUCCCAAUCACCCACAUAUUUAUGCUCUUUGUGCUCAUUACUCUUAUUGUUCUAAUUUUUACUUGAA